ensembl:lncRNA
AAGACUCUAAGAAGAAAAAAGGGAAAAAUCGCCAAGUCUAAAAAUACAGAAGAAUGUCUGGCCCUUGCAGAGGAUGUAAAUUACAUGGGUUUUAAAUACCUACCAAUUCAAAAAAUUGGCCAGGCUUGCCUGGAGGAGGACCAACAUCUUGAGGCCAUCGUCAAGGCCCAACACUGCAGGCAGACACUAACAAGCAUAAAGACCGCGAUGGAGGCCAACUUGUCCUAUUACAACCUCGCUACGCAUGGCCUUGGGCCAGAAAUGUUGAAGGGUGCGUUUUCUUUAAUUGAUGCGUGCCUGGUCGAGGCAGAGAACCUCCACUGCCUCCAGAAGUAAAUAAAGCAUGUCAAUUUUAAAGUGG